UUUAAUGAUGAUAAUAAUGCCUGUCAUUUGCUUCCUACGGACCCAACUCUGCUAAGGGCAGUAUCGCUACCAUUUCAUUUAUUCCUUUCAAGCACAUUUGGCACUCAGAUGAUACAACUUGUUGAUGGUCACGUAGUAAAUGACAGAGCAGAAACUUGAUGUCGGUCUGACUCAGAGGCCUGAGAUCUCACUGAUGUGGGAAACAGAGGCAGGAGAAAAAUUACUGAAUUUCCUUACUGCUUGCAGCCCAGUGACACACAGGUCCUCGAGGCAAGCAGAGUGACAUUCUUCUGGGGGCUCAACAACCUGGAUGUUGACGCUUUGCUAAAGGCAAAAGGCAAUCUUAGCUGGACCCCCAAGAUCCUAAUCUUUCAUCUGUUGGACGGUGCAGGAGAGGAAGGGACAACUCAUAGCCUGCCUGCAGACCACUGAAGUUGUCCCACAGAAGUCGACUGACCUACUGAGCCCUCCACGCUGCAGGGUGAGCAAGAGUGACUCAGCACAGACUGGACUCACUCGGAGCAUUACAGUAAAAGGAAAUGCCAGAAGCAGAAGCCCGACGUUGGGAGUGAAGCAGUCCAUUUUUGAGCAACCUAAAGAUGUCAGCGAGUCUCCGGCCAGCCGAGCAUUAAGUUCUAGGAACAGCAUGUGGGAACUGAGCCUGAGAGGGGUGGGGUGGGGUAUGGUGGGGUCAGAGCUUGCAGGAAUGCGGAUCUGACUUUAUCCUAAGGGCAGUGGGCAGGCAGGGCUGGGUGGUGGGUGGAGAUGGUGACAUGUAGAUGAAUUCUUUGAGACAGGCAGACAGCAUGGGUUAUAUCCAGGUUAUAUCCAGGUGUGAGAUAAGUGGCCUGGAGUUUUCCAAUGGAUAGGUGCAGAAGGUAUUUAGGGGGGAUUGACAGGCCUUGGAGGUGAACCAGGUGGGGGGCAGGAAGGGAGAAUUCACAGGGGUCCGACUCCAUAAAGAUGCUUUUCCUUGAGAUGGGGACACAGGAAGAGGUGGGGCUCUGAGCAGGAGUUUGCUUGUGGAAACAUUCUAUUUUAGGUGUAGCUGGGACAUAGGAAUGGAGAUGUCCCAUUGGUGGUUCAUGUGGACAUUCUGGAACUCAGGCAGAGCUGCCUGGCCGUGCAGGCGUGGGUCCCCGGCAUGUUGAAUGGAUCUAAGAAGGCUUGGAAGCGCACAACCUGACUGGGAAGAGCGGGGAGGAGAGAAAAAAGGACUAAGGCAGAACCCAGGGCCCCACAUCUAAAUCCAGUCAUUCAUACACCACCCUCACUAUCUGUAUUUGCCAUUUCAGUACAUCCCUUCUAUUGUCUUCUAUUAAAUAGAAAGUUCUUGGGCA